CCGAGCCCCCUCUGGAGGCGUCGCCGUGGCCGAGGGUAGCGUUCGGGGACAGGCGUUUGGUGGUGAUCCUCAUUCCCCUGCGGCUGAGAAACAUCCUGGCGUAGGGAUCCGCAAAUAUGAUUACCCACGGAGUUGGGCAGCGCUCGUGUACUGUUUAAUGCUGCCGCGCAUUGGGACCGUGGGCGUUGGUCGUGAAAUCCAGGGGGCACCUUGCAAAAUGCUUUUAUCUGCAUCGCUCCUGUAGCUGGAUACGCUAAACCUCAGCGCAUACAGACUCUAAUGAACGCCGGGGCUCUGUCGUUGUCCUGUAGCUUCGUUUUUGUUUUAGGCCGAGCUGAAGAUAGCGGUGUGGGUUUAAGCGUUCCACGUUGCGGAGCGUGGGUGGCUGGGCUUGCUGGCAUCGCUUCGGCGGGCAUCCCUGCCCGAAAUGGCCACACGGGAGGAUUUUUGACACUUAAGCCGUUUAGGGCCUAUGUUGUCUCUUCCUCAGCAGAGGGCAGCAAUAAGCUUUGUCUGGCAGGGACCCGUGGUGUACCUGUGCAGUACCGUUUACAGAUUGACUUUGUGAAACCAUCAUUUUGCAAAGAAAUUCUUUUGAUUGAAAGCAAAGGAGGAUGGCAUUCAGUGAACUUGCUGAAGAUGUCUGCCGUUGUGAAGUUUGAUGGCCUUAUUCUUUGGUGGUGCUGUACUUACCAUGAUUGGUGUCAUCAAUGUAAUUAUAGCUUCGUAUUUAUCCAUAUAUACAUAUCCACUAACAGCUUGUGGCAGCAAGCUGUUAGUUUGUCUCAUACCACCUUGUGACAUCAUGCCCUGAAAGACAGAAAAGGGAUAAAAUGCACCGCCUCCAGCGGUACGUGAGAAAACCCAUCAGGAGGUACUAACGCACCUUUGGUUUUAUUGGACUUUCCAG
rnacentral:lncRNA from 1 species